GGGAGGCUGGCGCAAACGCAGCGGGUGGCUGGGGUAGGGGCUCAUUGGGAGCCCACGGAGCGCGGCGGCGGCUCGGGGGCCGAGUUCCCUACAACAAGGAUGGCGGUGACGGGCGCAGGGAGCGGGGCCCGGCUCUCCUUGCCUCGAGGCUCCUCUGAUUCCACUCGCGUGGCUGCGCGGCCCUGGCAGCGGCCUUCGUCCCGGGGGUGGGAGCUACACAGGGUUCCGCCCCGUCCUGGCGAGGACGCCUGAGGGGGCUCUGUGGUAAGGCUCUGUCGGGCAGGCCGGGCUUCCGGGAGGACCUGGUCUGGAUCGGUCACCGCUGGGUGCCUGAGCUCCGCAUGGAGCCUGCAGCCUUUGUUUAACUUAUAAAGAAAUGGGGGCUCCGAGCAGUCAAGAAGAACAUGCCCCAAGUUAUUCGUCAGUGAGGCGGAAAUUGUGGUGUACUUGUUCCAGACCAACUAUGAAGAUAGGAUGCCCAUCCAGAAGAACGGGAAGCAUUUUCUUCCUCACCUUUGGAAAGUAAAACAAAAAAAAAAAGAAAAAUAAAAGAAAAAA
rnacentral:lncRNA from 1 species